GAUGAACGCUGGCGGCGUGCCUAAUUCAUGCAAGUCGAGCGAACAGAUGAGGAGCUUGCUCCUCUGACGUUAGCGGCGGACGGGUGAGUAACACGUGGAUAACCUACCUAUAAGACUGGGAUAACUUCGGGAAACCGGAGCUAAUACCGGAUAAUAUAUUGAACCGCAUGGUUCAAUAGUGAAAGACGGUUUUGCUGUCACUUAUAGAUGGAUCCGCGCCGCAUUAGCUAGUUGGUAAGGUAACGGCUUACCAAGGCAACGAUGCGUAGCCGACCUGAGAGGGAUAUCCGCCCAGGGAACCUGAACCCCGGCCCGGACCCCAAGGGGAGGCGGAGGUGGGAAAUCUUCGCAAAUGGGGGAAGCUUGACGGAGCAACGCCGCGUGAGUGAUGAAGGUCUUCGGAUCGUAAAACUCUGUUAUUAGGGAAGAACAAAUGUGUAAGUAACUAUGCACGUCUUGACGGUACCUAAUCAGAAAGCCACGGCUAACUACGUG
rnacentral:rRNA from 1 species